CAGUCGCCGCGGGAAUACGAAGGGUGCAAGCAUUAAUCGGAAUUACUGAGCGUAAAGGGUGCGUAGGCGGUUGUUUAAGUCUGUUGUGAAAUCCCCGGGCUCAACCUGGGAAUGGCAAUGGAAACUGGACGGCUAGAGUGUGUCAGAGGAUGGUGGAAUUCCCGGUGUAGCGGUGAAAUGCGUAGAGAUCGGGAGGAACACCGAUGGCGAAGGCAAUCCCCUGGACCUGUACUGACGCUCAUGCACGAAAGCGUGGGGAGCAAACAGGAUUAGAUACCCCCGUAGUCCCUGUCUCUUAUAC
rnacentral:rRNA from 1 species